rnacentral:rRNA from 1 species
AUGACCGCGCCUCCCAUGGAGCUCCGCCGCAGGGACUCCUCCUCGCCUGCGUCGCUGCCUUACCUCGUGCCGACAAGCCGCCUUGCUCCUACUUCCCCGCCUCCAUGCCGCUGCUUCGCCUGCUCUACAUCGAGCUGCCGGCGUCGAGAUGCCCCUACUCCGAGCAUAACCAUCGCAGCCUCUUCUGCUUCGGGCCAUGCCCAGACCUGUGUUGGUUUUUCCGGCAUCUUCUGCCGCUGCUCGCGCAUCGCCCUACCUUGCUGCUGCCCACUCGGGGCCCUUUUGUCUCGCUUGGUUUUGGAUCGGCAAGAAUGA